AACGUGUGCUUUGUAGGCUGAGCGUUUGGGGUGGGCGGGAUGAAGGACGUCCCCUUAGAAAGGAGGCUCCAGGGUGUGUCUGUGCUGACAGUGGCCUAGGAUACUGCCCCGUGUUCCCCUGCUUUCUGCCUCGCUUGGUUUCUCAUCCCUGCCUUCUACCAUCAAUUCGGAGUUGGAAACCAGAGUGGCAGCUCACACAGGCUGCAUUUGUUAUUGAUAAACGCUCCAAACUGAAUACGUUUCUGGAGAUCUGCAGUAACCGCCAGCAACUUCCCGGGGCCAUGUUUCCAGACGUCGACGAAGGGCACGGCAGCCUUUCCUUUCGACUUCUGUCUUCCCAUCAUCCUUAGCACAUGUAAGACGAGAAAGAAUGAUGCCUUGUGUUCUGUGAACCCCUCAUUGAAAAAAAAAGGCUCUGAAAGGCAAAAUAAAAUUCAAAUAUUAAGAGCA
rnacentral:lncRNA from 1 species